rnacentral:rRNA from 1 species
AAGCCAGACUCAGAUAGCCAUGCAUGUCUAAGUAUAAGCAAAUCUAUACUGUGAAACUGCGAACGGCUCAUUAAAUCAGUUAUAGUUUAUUUGAUGGUACCUUACUACAUGGAUAACUGUGGUAAUUCUAGAGCUAAUACAUGCCGAAAAGCCCCUUUCACGAGGGGUGUAUUUAUUAGAUUAAAGACCGUUGAGCUCCGGCUCAUUUGGUGAAUCAUGAUAACUGCUCGAAUCGCAUGGCCUUGCGCCGGCGAUGCUUCAUUCAAAUACCUGCCCUAUCAACUUUCGAUGGUAGGAUAGAGGCCUACCAUGGUUGCGACGGGUAACGGGGAAUAAGGGUUCGAUUCCGGAGAGAGAGCCUGAGAAACGGCUCUCAUGACUAAGGUCAGCAGCAGGCGCGCAAAUUAUCCACUCGCAAUACGCGGAGAUAGUGACAAUAAAUAACAAUAGAGGGCUCUUUUGGGUCUUCUAAUUGGAAUGAGUACAAUCUAAAUCCCUUAACGAGGAUCAAUUGGAGGGCAAGUCUGGUGCCAGCAGCCGCGGUAAUUCCAGCUCCAAUAGCGUAUAUUAAAUUUGUUGCUGUUAAAAAGCUCGUAGUCGAACUUCGGCCGCCCGCCAGCCGGUCCGCUCUCUGAGUGUGUACUGGACCUGGCGGCGGCUUAACCUCCUGGUGAACGGGCAUGCACUUUAUUGGGUGUGCCCGGGAACCCGGACUUUUACUUUGAAUAAAUCAGAGUGUUCAAAGCAGGCAUGUUUGCCCGAAUGUUACAGCAUGGAAUAAUAGAAUAAGACGUGUGUCGCUAUUGGUCUUUUAGACGGCACCGUAAUGAUAAAUAGGGGCGGUUGGGGGCAUUUGUAUUCAAUUGCUAGAGGUGAAAUUCUUGGAUUUAUUGAAGACAAACUACUGCGAAAGCAUUUGCCAAGGACGCUUUCAUUGAUCAAGAACGAAGGUCGGGGGAUCGAAAACGAUUAGAUACCGUUGUAGUCUCGACAGUAAACGAUGCCGACUGGGGAUCGGCCAGGGUAUUAUUUUAUGACCUGGUCGGCACCCAAAGAGAAAUCUUAAGUAAGGUUCAGGGGGGAGUACGGUCGCAAGGCUGAAACUUAAAGGAAUUGACGGAAGGGCACCACCAGGAGUGGAGCCUGCGGCUUAAUUUGACUCAACACGGGGAAACUCACCAGGUCCAGACACAAAAAGGAUUGACAGAUUGAUAGCUCUUUCUUGAUCUUGUGGUUGGUGGUGCAUGGCCGUUCUUAGUUGGUGGAGUGAUUUGUCUGCUUAAUUGCGAUAACGAACGAGACCUUAACCUGCUAAAUAGCCCGGCUGGCUUUGGCUGGCCGCUGGCUUCUUAGAGGGACUAUCGACGUUUAGUCGAUGGAAGUUUGAGGCAAUAACAGGUCUGUGAUGCCCUUAGAUGUUCUGGGCCGCACGCGCGCUACACUGACAGAGCCAGCGAGUCUCAUUUCUCCUUGGCCGGAAGGCCUGGGUAAUCUUGUGAAACUCUGUCGUGAUGGGGAUAGAGCAUUGCAAUUAUUGCUCUUCAACGAGGAAUUCCUAGUAAGCGUGAGUCAUCAGCUCGCGUUGAUUACGUCCCUGCCCUUUGUACACCCCAA